UCGGGAGACUGCAAAUAUGCGUGGUCUCCGACAUUCAUCACUCAAGCAUAUUGCUUAGGAGAGUGUUUCAUGGCACUGACUGCCGAAAAGAAAGCCGAAAUCGUCAAAGAGUUCGGUCAGGGCGAG
rfam:Gammaproteobacteria bacterium MFB021 Contig-111, whole genome shotgun sequence.